CCCCAACCCUGUGGUGCAGUUUUCCGAGUUCAGCAAAGUCCACGUAAUGGCGUGGAUCAGCCUGGAUGUACUAGGUGCUCUGAGGGGGAAGAAUAAAGUGUGGGGCCACUGAGUGCCGGCACGCGGGUGGGCUUGGGAGGUUGUUCCUCGUUGACCCGCUCUCCCUUGCCACUCACAGAAGAUGCUGCGGUGUGUGGGCGGCGGCGGCGGUACAGAGGCCCAGACUGACGUGCCUUCUACUUGAAAUUGAAUUUGUACUGCCUUUCUACGUUUACCACCAGGAGCAGCAUUAUUAUUUCGAGAGAGUUUUGCGUGUUGCCCUGGCUAGCCUUGAACUCACAGCAACCCUUCUGGCUUAAUAUUUUGUAUUUCUUAAUAAUUUGUAUUUUGUUUCUUUUUUUCCUUUGGGUGUGUGUUGGGGGGGGGUUGGGUCUUGAACCUAUGGCCUUGAGCACAGUAGGCAAGCACUCUAUCUUGGGGCUAUAUCCGUAGCCCCCACUUCUUUUGUUUGUGAAUUUAUUCUAGGAGACUUGUGAACAUGGUACAUAUUUUGA